UCGCCUCGUUAAAGACACAUGAUAGCGC
rnacentral:sRNA from 1 species